AGAUUCAUGUCGUUAACCCUUGAAAAAAACUGUCCCCGAGGCUCUGAGGGUUUCAGAUUUUUUUUUUGUCUGUUUCUGCGGUUGAAGAAGCAACAUGUUGGUUUGAGAAGCUGCUGAUGUUUUUUUUCUUUACUGAAGGAUGAACCAAGGAUGGUGAUGGGGGUCUGAGCAGACAAUCUGUGGACCCUCCCUGCAAAGGUCAGGACUGCCAAAAUAAGACAAAAUAAGACUCUUAGGUUUGGUUGUUGCUGCAGGUUUUCAGGUUCCGGUUGGGCUAAAAUUUUUGAAUUUAACAAAAAUCUGCAAAAAAAAUGGAUUUCCGUGAGAGAACUUUUCUUUUUUUUAAAUCUAAAGAUCUUUGAAAUAAUGUGAAAUGAGUCCAAAUUUGGGUUUUUCUCUGAUGUUUAUAUUUUAUAUUAAUGUUUCAGAAUCAUAAAAUCUGUGCAGUAAAAAUAAUGAAAGUCAAUAAAACAUAAAAAUUAUGAUGGUUCCCAAAUUCACCAUUUUAAAUAGUUAUUUAAAUCCAAAAAAGGACAAAAACUCAAUCACUGAAAUUCUGAAUGAAUAUUUUCAGAGGUUUUUAUUAAUCAGAAGAAUUUAUUUUGGAGGAUUUCGGAAGAGCUAAGGAGCACAUUUCACAGUUCCUGUUGUUUUUUAUUUUAGUGACUUUUUUUUUCUGGACUCUUCACGUAUAUUAUCAAACUCAAAUCCUAAUCAGUGAUUUUUUAAAAUUUGAGUGCUUCCCACAACGUAAAAAAAUGUCUGAAGAUUUAACAGUAAAAAACUGUAAAAGACAUUUACUUAAAAAAAACCCAUACACUGUUUUUGUAACCCAGUAGCCAUUUUUUACCAUGAAAAAUACAGUUGUUGUUUUCUUUUACCGUAAAAUUACAGUUUUUUUUACUGUAAAUGUUUUUUUUUCAGACUGCAGACUGUUACCUCUGUCCCCAGAGCAAUUUGACCUCGGUUUACAGCCACAUUAUGUCAUAUUUAGCUCUAACUGACCGUGACGUUCAUUUCCUGUAACUUCGUUUUUUUAAAGAACCAGAAAAUGGUAAAAAAUGCUCCUCAAGUCCAAACCCGGUCCUUAUCAGCAAGGUCUGGGAUUUUCACGUGUAAAUGAUAAGACCGGCUUGGAUGGUGUCAGAGGAUCCGUUUCUGUCUGCAGGUCUGUUUUUUUUAAAAACAGGAUUUUAUCAGAGUUUCACUUUGUCUUCGUUUGCAGGGUAUCAACUCCAAAUCUUAAGAUUUUCAAACAAAGAGACGUCAGAGUUUAUUGAAUCAAACUGAACUUUUUCUGUAGGACUUUUUAAAUAAGGCCUGGGUGAUUUGGCAAAAAAAAUUAUCACAAUAUAUUUUGUCGUAUCGUCUGAUCUCAAUUAUUAUCACAAUUUUUCUUUAAACUGCCAGUUUCAAAGUAUCUGUACUAAAAACUAAAGAAACAAGAGAUUAGUUCAACAUUUUAUUAAAAUACAAAGUAAAUAACAUAUAAUAAGAUACACUUGGAAAAAUAUAAAAACAUUUUAACUCAACAGUACAACAAAUGUAGAUAAAUACUAAAUAAUACAGUGAACUAGUUUACAGUCCUGAGUGUUUUUGCAGAUAUGUAAGACCCAAAAUAAACAAAUCGCCCCGUCAGAGAUAAUGAAGACGCCUUAAAUGUAAACAUUAGAUGAUGUAAACGUAGAUGAUACGAUUGACUGCUGCUUUGGUCUGGUGGCUGCACUGCUAGUUUUAGCUAAACUGCUACCUGUGCCAUCAACAGUGGCAGGCUGUUCAGAUUCCGCCCACAUUUUCAUGUUUUCUGCAUAAUCAAUUGGGAAGAACAUCUUCUAAUUAAACAGAUCUGUUGUGUUGCCGGUUGUUGAGGCACCGACCGCCGACAUACCUUACACAUCGGCUUAAUUACUCAACAUCACUUUGGAGAUACAGGAGCCACCGCCACACAACCGACGUUGAAUGAGUUCUCAACAAUAAAAUCUUCAGAGGAUAACUCAAAGUCAUGGCUGACGUCUAUUUUGCUGCCCUCAGCGCCACAUUUAGCUCCAUGUUCGGUCAUUCUUUUUACUUCUCUGGUAACUAACAGAUGUGAGCUGGAAAAGCUUGACUCUGAUUGGCUGUUGUGACGCACAUUUCCGCCAUUUUUGACUGAGUAAAUAAACUCACAGCUGAUCACUGUGAUCGAACUGAAAUUUAUCACAAUCAUAUAAUCGCCCAGUAAUAUUUUAAAUAAUCAUUAUUUCUAAUCUUGCUAAAAACCCAAACUAUUAUUCUCGGGAGGCGCUGCCUUUAAAGACUGCCUUUUCUUUAUUCUUUAUUCUUUAUUCAUACGGAUCCCCAUUAGCUGCCACCAAGGUAGCAGCUACUCUUCCUGGGGUCCACAAAUAAAACAAACAAUACAAUACAAGACAAUACAAUACAUAAUUCAAUAAAACAUGUACAGUCUUGCAAAGGUCAUUCAAGACAAUAAAAGUCCAGUAAAAGCAAACCACAAACAAAAAAACAAAAACAAAAACAAAAACAAAACAACAAGAAAAAAACAAGCAGAAAACAAAUGAAACUAAAAUUUAAAAGUUAAGAUUAGUGUAAUUUGUCAGGUGUCUUUUAAGGAGUCUCUUAAAACUAGCCUUACUAGGUGCUUCCGUGAUCAUUGUCGGUAAAGUGUUCCAAAUGGUAAUUGCUCGAUACAUUACAGAUCUGCAGACUGCAUUUGUUCUGGGUUUUUCUUUAACCAUGUCACCCCUAGUAGCCUGCCUGGUAUUAUAAUUAUGACGAUCUCUCACAUACUGUAUUUGCGAGUUCAAACAAACAGAUUCUUUGUCCUGAGUCCUUCACAGACUGUACACAUCAGGAGACCUGGUGUUUUUCUCUCUCGUUUCAAACCAGUUCAGUCCAGUUUUAAUGCUCAGGUUCAGACUCGUUCUUACACUCACCAAAAAUGUGGGACUGUUCCUUUAGAGGAGAGAUGAAUCACCAUUUCAGGGUGUGUUCAGAUAGACUCAUCAGCUGAUCCAGAUUCACAGCAGACCUGGUUUUGCAGGUGAGAUCUUCCUCUCAUGCUCUCCUUAUCCCUCCAUCAGAGGUGAAGGCAUGAAAACAAACCGACUGUAAACAGGAGGCGAGCCGCUGUGACGCUAAAUCUGUCGACACGUUUUAUCCAAAAACAGCCUAGGGCCGGUCUGCACGUGCUCGGUACAGACCAGAGAGGAGCUGUCAGAGUAUUUAUAUCCAGACCCUGACCGGUUUCAACUUCAUUUAUAUUUAGGUUUCUGAUCAGCUGAUCACAGGUGGAGGACGGAAAUAACGCCAAGAACAUCAGAGAGAGAGAGAGACGGGAAUAAAAACAGAAAAAUCAGAAAUCAUUGGAAAAAAACACGACUGAAGGAGAACGAUGACGGAUCAGGGACUAAAAUACAGGAUCCUGGUCUUCAACAAACCACCACAGACUCAGAGACAGACAUCAGGGCCUCAUUUACCUGCAGUUCCUCUACUGACCACUUGAGGCUGUUUCCAAAAGUGAGUCCAUCUCCCUGGAGCUCUGUGAUCAAAUGUCCAACGAUUACAGAAACAUCAGUCAAGAAUGAAUCAGUCUCUAACAGUCGGACUUUUGUUUGUUUCACAGGGAAGCCUUUUCAGGACUGGCUCGUUGUGAUCUGCAGUUCUCCUAAUGUCCACUAGAGGUCGUCCUACAGUGAGCUGGUCCCUGUUGACCCCCAUGUUAAAACCUGGCCCAUGAACAGUGUUGGGGCUCUAUUUUCGUGCCUGGCGGCGGCCCAGCAGACAGUGGCAGACCCGCGCAGUGGUAUUUUCGUCUGGUGGAGCCCGGUGCACAGCCAGUUUGGUAUUUUCGUAGACUGAGGCGCACCGAGGUCUGCCAAGCUGGGCGUGGUGGUGCGGCUGGGGGAGGUGACGACAGAAUCAGCUGGUGCAGUGACAUUUUCGUGCCCGCCGGUGGCGUGGAAAGUGUGCUGAAAGCUCCAAAGUGUACCAAUAUACCAAAGUGUGCUUGGGCACACCUUGUCGGCGUGGCGGACCUGACUUACGCCACGCCUGCGUCACGGCUCCAGCAAGGCACGGAAAUAGAGCCCUUGGUCUCUAGUCAUGAGAAAUGACAGGCUAAAUUUAUAGACACCUCACCUGUUUACAUCAGAUUUACGGGGGCGUGGCCUCUUUGAGUGACAGGGGAGCUGUCAGGUGUCUCCUCAGUCCUAACCUCGGAGUCCUUUUGGUGGUUUUUAGAGAUCCGUCUUAGCGCUUUACUAACUAACAGGGUAGAAACAUGAAAUAGAGCGUGAGGAAAAGAUGGAUGAGGAGAGAGGGCGAGGAGAGGGCGAGGGGCCGGGCCUUCAUAUCACUGUGACAGGUCUCAUAUAGAAGGAGACGAGACACAGCAAGUAAUUAAAGCAGAGAAAAAGAGGAAGAGGUAAUGUGAAGAAGGAACAAUUAGACUCUGUAACAUCAGGAGGAGGAGGAUCAGUCUGCACACGGACUGGGAACAGCCCCAAAGCAUCAUGGUCCUGCAGGCUCAGACCGUUACAGUAUGGUGGAGGUUUUCUGAUGGAGAAAUAAAAAAAAGAUCUUUCUGAGA